UAUCUUCGGUAAGCCAACAAUAAAGCAGCAGAGAGAAAGGGGUGGUGCGUGGUGCAUUUGGCGGGUAGUGGUGUUUGAUUCUAGUUCGCUGGCUUGAGCGGCAGGGUCGAAGCCCACCCGUUGGUGGUUAACUCCAGUAUGGCACGAAAAAGAAGAGAGAGAAUGAGUUCCAGCGGUGGCUGCCUGGCUGGAGGCACUGAUUUUUGCCGACGAAGUUUGAGGGGAAAGAGGUCGGCCUUGUUGAGGCUGCCGGUGACUGGUGGAUCUUGAAGCUCACCAAAAUCUGGCCAUGGAAGAGAGAGAAAAGAAAAGCCUGUGAUGUUGUGGUUUUGUGCGUGUGGUGUGUGUAGUGUGUGUUUUUAAAGCAAAGAAAUGUCAGGGUACUUGCGGCUCCCCUUUUUUCAAGCUGAGAGGGUAGAAAAUAAAAACCUACCCUCUCAAAUUUUG
rnacentral:lncRNA from 1 species